rnacentral:rRNA from 1 species
CCCUUAGAUGUUCUGGGCCGCACGCGCGCUACACUGACGAUGGCAACGAGUUUUUCCUUCGCCGAAAGGUGUGGGUAAUCUUUUGAAACAUCGUCGUGCUGGGGAUAGAUCAUUGCAAUUUUUGAUCUUGAACGAGGAAUUCCUAGUAAGCGCGAGUCAUCAGCUCGCGUUGUUUACGUCCCUGCCCUUUGUACACACCGCCCGUCGCUACUACCGAUUGAAUGGUUUAGUGAGGACUCCUGAUUGGCGCCGCCGCCCCGGCAACGGAGCAGCGGACUGCCGAAAAGUUGUUCAAACUUGAUCAUUUAGAGGAAGUAAAAGUCGUAACA